UACAGAGGGUGCGAGCGUUGUUCGGAAUUAUUGGGCGUAAAGCGCUUGUAGGCGGCUUGUUAAGUUCCGUGUGAAAUCCCCAGGCUUAACCUGGGAACUGCGUCCGAUACUGGCAGGCUUGAAUCCGGGAGAGGGAUGCGGAAUUCCAGGUGUAGCGGUGAAAUGCGUAGAUAUCUGGAGGAACACCGGUGGCGAAGGCGGCAUCCUGGACCGGCAUUGACGCUGAGGCGCGAAAGCCAGGGGAGCAAACGGG
rnacentral:rRNA from 1 species